GUGUCCAUAAGCCAAGGAAUGCAGGCAGCCUUUGGAAGCUGUGAAAGGCAGGGAAAUGGAUUCUCUCCAGAAGCCUCCAGAAGGCUAGCCCAGGCUUGUUUGCAUGUUGGUGGAAAGGAGCAACAAGAAUAGUGAGACCUCUUAAGUCCUAGGCUUCGAACUGACACGUUGUCACAUCCGCCACUUCUACGGAUCAACAAAAAUCACAAGGUCAGCCCUGAUUCAAGGGCUUAGAAAAUAAACUUAAUCUCUGAUGAGA